GCGGGUGUGUCUGAGCGGUUAGGAACCGGCCUGCAAAGCCGUUUACACGGGUUCGAAUCCCGUCACUCGCU
rnacentral:tRNA from 1 species